rnacentral:lncRNA from 1 species
AUCGGGUACUGAAAAUAACCGCUUUGCUUCAAGUUAGGAAUUGAAAAUAGGUCCAUUAAUCUUUUGGGCUACCAGGUGAUAAUUUGGUCAUUUCUGUUUUGGCCAAAAAGAAAAAAAGAAAAAAAUCAGAAAUGAUGCAAGACUGAACUAGUAAAAGUCCCUUGGCCUACCCACCACUUCUGUUUUUUUUCACAUUGUAGCAGCUCAGAGGCAGUCUUUCAAUCUAAAAUAAAUACUUUCGGGUCCUAUCAUCCCAGUAUCAAAAGACUCAGUCUGCUACAAGCUCUGUGAAAUGUCUCUUUAUCUCCAUUUGAUACGUGUGGGCAGCUUUUAAAAACCCAUGGCAAAAACAAAUACCCUGAGCAGGGCUAAACUAGACCUAAUAAAUGGGCUUUUCAUGUUUAAUAAACUUAAGCUCUGCUAAGAACAAUAAAGGAAAUCUUAUAGAACAAGAAAAAAAACUCAACGUAUCAGGACACAUCAACUAACACAUCCCUUUCUAUUCCUACUUUUUGUUUGCAACUUACUGUCUCCAAGGCAAGAAAAGUGGUGGACAAAAUGAGGAGGAGCCAUUUGUGUUCAAAGACCCUCUGGUCUAGUAGGUAAGAGAGGAUCUUCUACUGAUACAGGCUGGGGAUUGAGAAGGACUCGCAAGCCCUUCAAAGGACAAUGAAACACAAGAACGUACUAGUAGUGAUUAUAGAUUUAUUUUCAUCUGAGUACUUUUCUGUAUCUUUCAAAUUUUCUGUAGAAAGCAUAUAUAGAUUUUAUUUAAAAAUAUAAAAAAAAAACCAAUAGCAGGUACAGACUGCAAAAUGAAAAACAAAUGAAUAAAUAGGAAGGGAGAAACAAAGAUUUGAAGGUCUAUCUU